GUUUUCAGAGAUGAGAAUGUGCCUUCGGGAACCGUGAGACAGGUGCUGCAUGGCUGUCGUCAGCUCGUGUUGUGAAAUGUUGGGUUAAGUCCCGCAACGAGCGCAACCCUUAUCCUUUGUUGCCAGCGGUCCGGCCGGGAACUCAAAGGAGACUGCCAGUGAUAAACUGGAGGAAGGUGGGGAUGACGUCAAGUCAUCAUGGCCCUUACGACCAGGGCUACACACGUGCUACAAUGGCGCAUACAAAGAGAAGCGACCUCGCGAGAGCAAGCGGACCUCAUAAAGUGCGUCGUAGUCCGGAUUGGAGUCUGCAACUCGACUCCAUGAAGUCGGAAUCGCUAGUAAUCGUGGAUCAGAAUGCCACGGUGAAUACGUUCCCGGGCCUUGUACACACCGCCCGUCACACCAUGGGAGUGGGUUGCAAAAGAAGUAGGUAGCUUAACCUUCGGGAGGGCGCUUACCACUUUGUGAUUCAUGACUGGGGUGAAGUCGUAACAAGGUAACCGUAGGGGAACCUGCGGUUGGAUCAC
rnacentral:rRNA from 1 species